rnacentral:rRNA from 2 species
AUACGUGUCUAGUCGUACGAACUCUGGUAUUGAUUGGUGCUUGCAUCAUGAUUUACAUUUGAGUGAGUGGCGAACUGGUGAGUAACACGUGGGAAACCUGCCCAGAAGCGGGGGAUAACACCUGGAAACAGAUGCUAAUACCGCAUAACAACUUGGACCGCAUGGUCCGAGCUUGAAAGAUGGCUUCGGCUAUCACUUUUGGAUGGUCCCGCGGCGUAUUAGCUAGAUGGUGGGGUAACGGCUCACCAUGGCAAUGAUACGUAGCCGACCUGAGAGGGUAAUCGGCCACAUUGGGACUGAGACACGGCCCAAACUCCUACGGGAGGCAGCAGUAGGGAAUCUUCCACAAUGGACGAAAGUCUGAUGGAGCAACGCCGCGUGAGUGAAGAAGGGUUUCGGCUCGUAAAACUCUGUUGUUAAAGAAGAACAUAUCUGAGAGUAACUGUUCAGGUAUUGACGGUAUUUAACCAGAAAGCCACGGCUAACUACGUGCCAGCAGCCGCGGUAAUACGUAGGUGGCAAGCGUUGUCCGGAUUUAUUGGGCGUAAAGCGAGCGCAGGCGGUUUUUUAAGUCUGAUGUGAAAGCCUUCGGCUCAACCGAAGAAGUGCAUCGGAAACUGGGAAACUUGAGUGCAGAAGAGGACAGUGGAACUCCAUGUGUAGCGGUGAAAUGCGUAGAUAUAUGGAAGAACACCAGUGGCGAAGGCGGCUGUCUGGUCUGUAACUGACGCUGAGGCUCGAAAGUAUGGGUAGCAAACAGGAUUAGAUACCCUGGUAGUCCAUACCGUAAACGAUGAAUGCUAAGUGUUGGAGGGUUUCCGCCCUUCAGUGCUGCAGCUAACGCAUUAAGCAUUCCGCCUGGGGAGUACGGCCGCAAGGCUGAAACUCAAAGGAAUUGACGGGGGCCCGCACAAGCGGUGGAGCAUGUGGUUUAAUUCGAAGCUACGCGAAGAACCUUACCAGGUCUUGACAUACUAUGCAAAUCUAAAAGAUUAGACGUUCCCUUCGGGGACAUGGAUACAGGNGGGGCAUGGUUGUCGUCAGCUCGGNUCGGGAGAUGUUGGGUUAAGUCCCGCAACGANNGCAACCCUUAUUAUCAGUUGCCAGCAUUAAGUUGGGCNNUCUGG